AAGCUGCUAGAGGGAGCGGCGGGCAGCGGACGGCGGGAAAAGGAGACUUACCUCGGUAUUCCUCCAUACGCCCCCCUUGAUCAUAAUUCGAGGCAUCUUGGCGGCAGGGUGUCUCGGCAAGCAGCCGAGAGGAGCUUCAGAGAAGUAGUAACAGCGAUUGGGCCACCGGACUCAAAGCCGCCACUUCCUCCAAGCGCGACCUUCUGCUUUGAAGAUCUGCGCAAGCGCAAGGUCUUCGAGAUUUUAACACUGGAGCAUAGAGGAGGUCAGUCUCUACUGACUGCUGAACAUCCAACACGUGACACCCAGGAGUUGUCUACCACCAUGUUUUGGACUAAGGGAAAAAAGCAGGUGGAUUGUUGCAUUUGCAGAUUUAACAUUCUUAAAUUUCCAAGCACAAUUACUACACUAUUUAAAGAUAUGAACAACUUUGAUGACAGUAAUGGAGCAGUACAAAACUGAUUCAUCAAAUAACUUGGGAAAAAACCUACAAUUUUUAUUAAUAGAUGAUAGAUAAUAACAUUUCUAUUCAUAGAUAAUAAUUCCAGCCAUAAUGAAGUAGCGGGGAUCAGAUUUACUCUCCUGACUUAAACAAGUAGAAAACUGGACAAAAUGUAUGAAAUAACAAUUUUCAGAAUGAGACAACAGGCAGCACAGGAUUGUGAUCCUAAAGAAAAGGAAAGCAAAUGAAGAGAUUCCUGUAAUCACCCAGCUUUGCCUGGAGGCACAUUCAAGACCACAGCGUAGGAUGAGCAACCCCACACAGAGCAUGGCAUUCUCUAUGAGUUUGAGGAGCCGAAGAUCCAAGUUCAGAGAGUCUUGGAGGACUGGAAGCUGCAGGGCAGAGUUCUGGGGAAGAAGGAACUUUACAAAAAAAUGAAAGUAAGAAAUUUACACAGCACUUCCUUUGAGUCUUUGCUGAAUAUUAAGACACACAUGUGUAGGGUAGAACUCCAAAAGAUCAGACAAUAGAGUGACUGGGAACUGAAUGGGCUCACAAAGGGCUAAAAAUCAUUUUAGUUCCCACCAACUAAAGUGAAGACUCCUCACUGAUCACUCAAGGUAUUCUGCAGAGACUCUAAAAGGGCCACAUCUUACUUAGUAAUGGAGUUAAACUAUCCCUAAAGACUGCUUUAGACACGCCCUAACAAAGCUUGAAAACAAGCCUCAAACCAAACUGCAAGUGACUUAACUGCCUGCUACAGCAAAGACCAGCACUCUUUAAAAGAAGACCACAAGGCCUGUUGCGGUGGCUCACGCCUGUAAUCCCAGCACUUUGGGAGCCCAAGGCAGGUGGAUCACGAAGUCAAGAGAUUGAAACCAGCCUGGUCAAC
rnacentral:lncRNA from 1 species